rnacentral:rRNA from 1 species
ACGCUCGACACCUACUGGAGGCAGCAGUGGGGGGAUAUUGCACAAUGGGGGAAACCCUGAUGCAGCAACGCCGCGUGUGGGAAGAAGGUUUUCGGAUUGUAAACCACUGUUCUCAGGGACGAUAAUGACGGUACCUGAGGAGAAAGCUCCGGCUAACUACGUGCCAGCACGCCGGACGGUAAUCUGAGGCCGGGCGUGGACGAAGGC